rnacentral:rRNA from 1 species
AGAGUUUGAUCCUGGCUCAGAGUGAACGCUGGCGGUAGGCCUAACACAUGCAAGUCGAACGGCAGCACAGGAGAGCUUGCUCUCUGGGUGGCGAGUGGCGGACGGGUGAGGAAUACAUCGGAAUCUACCUUUUCGUGGGGGAUAACGUAGGGAAACUUACGCUAAUACCGCAUACGACCUACGGGUGAAAGUGGGGGACCGCAAGGCCUCACGCGAUUAGAUGAGCCGAUGUCCGAUUAGCUAGUUGGCGGGGUAAUGGCCCACCAAGGCGACGAUCGGUAGCUGGUCUGAGAGGAUGAUCAGCCACACUGGAACUGAGACACGGUCCAGACUCCUACGGGAGGCAGCAGUGGGGAAUAUUGGACAAUGGGCGCAAGCCUGAUCCAGCCAUACCGCGUGGGUGAAGAAGGCCUUCGGGUUGUAAAGCCCUUUUGUUGGGAAAGAAAUCCUGUCGAUUAAUACUCGGUGGGGAUGACGGUACCCAAAGAAUAAGCACCGGCUAACUUCGUGCCAGCAGCCGCGGUAAUACGAAGGGUGCAAGCGUUACUCGGAAUUACUGGGCGUAAAGCGUGCGUAGGUGGUGGUUUAAGUCUGCUGUGAAAGCCCUGGGCUCAACCUGGGAAUUGCAGUGGAUACUGGAUCACUAGAGUGUGGUAGAGGGAUGCGGAAUUUCUGGUGUAGCAGUGAAAUGCGUAGAGAUCAGAAGGAACAUCCGUGGCGAAUGCGGCAUCCUGGGCCAACACUGACACUGAGGCACGAAAGCGUGGGGAGCAAACAGGAUUAGAUACCCUGUAGUCCACGCCCUAAACGAUGCGAACUGGAUGUUGGGUGCAACUUGUCACCCAGUAUCGAAGCUAACGCGUUAAGUUCGCCGCCUGGGGAGUACGGUCGCAAGACUGAAACUCAAAGGAAUUGACGG